GUAGAGAGGAUUGUUGACAAGAGGAAAAACAAGAAGGGAAAAACGGAGUAUUUGGUGCGGUGGAAAGGAUACGACAGUGAAGAUGAUACCUGGGAGCCAGAACAGCACCUUGUUAACUGUGAGGAAUAUAUACACGAGUUUAACAGACGCCACAACGAGAAGCAGAAAGAAAGCACAUUAACCAGGACAAACAGGACCUCUCCCAAUAAUGCCAGAAAACAAAUUUCUAGAUCUACCAAUAGUUCUUUUUCAAAGACAUCUACUAAAUCUUUAGUUAUGGGUAAAGACCACGAGUCAAAAAAUAAUCAACUCUUUUCUGCCAGCCAGAAGUUCCGGAAAAAUAAUCCACCAUCUCUUUCUGGAAGGAAAAAUAUGGACCUUGCAAAAUCAGGUAUUAAAAUCCUAGUGCCCAAAAGCCCAAUUAAGAGCCGGACAACAGUUGAUGGGUUCCAGAAUGAAAGCCCAGACAAAAUGGACCAUAUAGAGCAGGAUCAAGAAGACUCUGUAGCACCAGAAGUAGCAGCAGAAAAACCGGUGGGAGCUUUAUUAGGCCCUGGUGCGGAGCGUGCCAGGAUGGGGAGCAGACCAAGGAUACACCCCCUAGUGCCACAGCUGCCAGUGCCAGUGCCAGCCACCAUCGCCUCCGCGCUGACGAUAAACGGGAAAG